GUCGCGGGGUCGCGGGGUCGCGGGGUCGCGGGUCUUGGUGGGCUGAGGGGGCGGGGCCAGUGUGUGCGGUCUGGGCACUUCCUUCCGCUCCGGGCGCGGCGUUUCCGGUCCGUCCCGUCCCGCGCGGGGAGUCUCAGGGCGUCCACGCAGGUGUGCCGGGCCGCUUCUGUUCUGCAAGGAGGCAGCCUGCACGUGAUGGACAAAAUUCCCGUCCAAAGACCAAAGCACCUUUGAGCAUUAUCUGCAGUAUUCCGCCAUUUGCACACAUAC
rnacentral:lncRNA from 1 species